GAUCACAUGGGAUUAUUUCUGUUCCAUGCCACAGAAGAGCCAUGAGGGUCAGGCAUGAGUAGUCGUGGUUUAAAGUUUAAAGUAAAAUCACCAUAAUUACUUUUAAUAAUCUCUUUACACUUGUUGCAGCACUGACAAUAUCAGCGAGGAGACUGUCAGAAAAAUACCGUCUGUGAGAAAGAAAAGGAGAGCAAAUUGCAGCACAGACACUGAGAGCUGCAAUAAGAUUUAAGGAACUGCUGCUUCCCUUUCCUUGGUUUAAAUUGCUGCUGGUGUAUGCCCUCCUUCCUACCACACUGUGAACUGGAGACCAGACCAAGAGGUGGCACAGGCAAUGCAAUAUUUGCAGUUUACACAGUAUGUCUGACAUGCCUGCAAAAGUGGAGACCCUUGCCCUUACCUUCUCUUUAAAAGUUGUUAUAUUUCCUCUGAAUGUUUUUAAGGAAAGAAUGAACAGUUGUGUAAGGAACCAAAGCAAAACUGACAUUUUUGAUACAUUUGCAUUGGCAAAGGGGUAAGGAACCCAAUAAAAAUUGUAAGUUCUUUGCA
rnacentral:lncRNA from 1 species